UACGUAGGGUGCAAGCGUUGUCCGGAAUUAUUGGGCGUAAAGAGCUCGUAGGCGGUCUGUCACGUCGGCUGUGAAAACUCGGGGCUCAACUCCGAGCCUGCAGUCGAUACGGGCAGACUAGAGUUCGGUAGGUGAGACUGGAAUUCCUGGUGUAGCGGUGAAAUGCGCAGAUAUCAGGAGGAACACCGGUGGCGAAGGCGGGUCUCUGGGCCGAUACUGACGCUGAGGAGCGAAAGCGUGGGGAGCAAACAGG
rnacentral:rRNA from 1 species